rnacentral:rRNA from 1 species
GAUGAACGCUGGCAGCGUGCCUAAUACAUGCAAGUCGAGCGAACAGAUGAGGAGCUUGCUCCUCUGACGUUAGCGGCGGACGGGUGAGUAACACGUGGAUAACCUACCUAUAGGACUGGGAUAACUUCGGGAAACCGGAGCUAAUACUGGAUAAUAUAUUGAACCGCAUGGUUCAAUAGUGAAAGACGGUUUUGCUGUCACUUAUAGAUGGAUCCGCGCCGCAUUAGCUAGUUGGUAAGGUAACGGCUUACCAAGGCAACGAUGCGUAGCCGACCUGAGAGGGUGAUCGGCCACACUGGAACUGAGACACGGUCCAGACUCCUACGGGAGGCAGCAGUAGGGAAUCUUCCGCAAUGGGCGAAAGCCUGACGGAGCAACGCCGCGUGAGUGAUGAAGGUCUUCGGAUCGUAAAACUCUGUUAUUAGGGAAGAACAAAUGUGUAAGUAACUAUGCACGUCUUGACGGUACCUAAUCAGAAAGCCACGGCUAACUACGUG